AGGUGAGAUCCAGGACCCUGCGCCGGGGUGGCGGUGUUGGGCGGGCUGAGGCCGCGUGUCCCGGGUUGCAGGUCCCCGCGCGUUGUGUCCGCCCCGGCCUGCGGCGGGGACGCCUGAGCUGGGCUGACCAUGCCCUGCCGGCCCGCAGAAAAGCAGGCCGGAAGCCGCCUGUCUCCAGCCCUCUCUCUGCUCGGGGGUCCAGGGCCAGAGGGGGCGGCGCUGGUCGUUGGGACUCGGCCCAGCCGCCGCGGCCAGCAAGUGACCAACGCCCGAGUCCUUCCCGGUGAGAUCAGGCCUCCCACGCGUCACGCCUGGGAGAACGCCAGCCGGCGGGGAGGUCGUGCCGGGAUAGCAGACUUUAGUUGUUGUCGUUGUUCCGUGGACUUUUUAGCAGCACAGGGGACCUUAUCGAGUCAGGCUGCUGCCCCAUUGGAAGAUUACUCCCCAGGCUUCCCUUGCCCCAAGCAGUGAGCUGACUGGAAUGGUACCCCGGGAGGCCCCUGAGUCUGCUCAGUGCCUGUGCCCUUCCCUCACCAUCCCAAAUGCCAAGGAUGUGCUUCGGAAGAGGCACAAGAGAAGGAGCCGACAGCAUCAGCGGUUCAUGGCCCGCAAGGCGUUGCUGCAGGAGCAGGGGCUGCUGAGCAUGCCUCCAGAACCAGGGUCCUCCCCACUGCCCACCCCUUUCGGGGCAGCGACAGCAACUGAAGCUGCCAGCAGUGGGAAGCAGUGUCCGAGGGCUGGAUCUGGCGGUGCUCCAUGCAGCAGAAGGCCUGCUCCCGGGAAAGCCUCAGGGCCCUUGCCCAGCAAGUGUGUGGCUAUCGACUGUGAGAUGGUGGGCACGGGACCCCGAGGGCGGGUGAGCGAGCUGGCCCGCUGUUCCAUU
rnacentral:sRNA from 1 species